rfam:Schistosoma mansoni strain Puerto Rico chromosome 1, complete genome
AGUUUUCUGAAUAUGUGAAGAGAUUUCGUCAGACACCAACCCAUUAGGGCUGGUUAGACUUCAAAAAUAAGUGAAGUU